rnacentral:lncRNA from 1 species
UUUUUUUUUUAUUGAAUUCAAGUAACUUUAAAAAUAAUGUUGGUGGAUAUCUCUGCUUUGCGGAGUGGCAAUUGAUCUUCAACUACUCGUUGACCCUCGGUGUGGUGUACGAACAAUAGCUCAUACAUAAGUUGGCUAGAUUUUCAACAAUUUUGUCGAGUCAUCAGAGGAAUGUUAUAUGUUAUUCAGAAUGGUGGUAUCAGCUAAUUCCGGAUUAUCACAGACAAUAUCAUUCUGGGGAAUAUCAUCCGGAACUCCUGCUAGUGAAUAUCAAUAAUGCACCAUUACUAGUGAAUGUGUUUUUAAGAUAGCCUUUAACUAGCAAAGCUAGAACACGUGUUUGUGAAAUGUGCAGAUUGUUUAAUAUUGUUGGGCACAAUUGGUUGCUAAGUAAGGACAAUCUUCGAUCUUACAAUUCUUAUACUCAAAUUCUUUUGCACUUAGACUCUUGUAACUUCGUUUGAUACGUUCUUGCGAACUCACUCUUUACUUGAACACAAAUAACUCAAAUGAACCACUUACCUUUCUAGAUUUUCUGUUCUUUGCCUUGUAACUAUAUUUCUAGAAUUCACCUCCUAAUUCUCUACAAACUCUUGGAAUGUUCUAUAUGUUUUUGUUAGGGCAAAGAUAUUUAUUAUUCAAAGUCCAGAAAAAAAACAAACUAGUUUCUGUGUUUCUUAAGAAGGAAAAUAUUUUUUAAUUUUCUUAUAUUUGGUUGGCUUAAAUAUUUUUCAAAUGAACGUAAUUUAUUAAAAGUAAGAAAAAAUGUAUUUUUCAAAACUUUCUUCAACUUCACCACCCAACCUCUAUCACGACCCGAAACCUGACUAUCAACCCCGACAUGGAAUUCGAUUCCUAAUCCCGACUUUGAUUAGGGAUCCGAAUUCGAUCCAAAAUACGACUUCCAACCUUGACACAGAUUAGUAUUUGACCCAACCAAUCCCCAACUUGAGUCAAGGUUGGGUCUUGGCUUAGGGUUUGGUCUCAAGUUGGGUUAGGGUUAGGUCAGGGUAGGAUCGAGGAUUAGUUUCUAAGUUGGGACUAGGAGUGGCAAAUGAGUGAGUUGAGUUGAGUCGAAUAUGAGUCGAUCGAAAACGAGUUAAAUAAAAAUGGAUAAAGCACUCGGCUCGACUCACAUUUUAAAUGGGUAAAAACGAGUUACCCAAUGAAUAAUAUGGGUACUCAUAUUAUAGUUAAGAUCUUGUUAAAAGCUUUAAAAAUAAAAUCUUUUUUAUUUUUUUAUCACUCCACCCUCCCUACCAGCCCCCACCCCCCAUUCCAAAAAAAAUUAUAAUUUUUUUUUUACCACCCCCCAAUGCACCCCUCACAUUUUAAAAAAGAAGAAACUUUUUCUACCACCCACCCCUAAUCACUUUUCUUUCUUUUAUGAAUGAACAUUUUUUAUUCAUAUUAUCCAUUUAACUAUCCACUUUUAAAUGGGUAAAUAUGAGUAUUAUUCGUUUUUACCCAUUUUAAAAUGAGUUGGGUACUCAACCCAUUUAAAAUAGGUAAAUAUGAGUGAAUACCCAUAUAAAUUACCCAUUCUGCCACCUCUAGUUGGGAUCGAUGUUAGGGUUGGAGGUGGGGUUGAGUAUUGAGUCAAGGGCGAGGUUGUGUUUCUGGUGGAUGUUGAGGUCCGAUCGGAUCUCGAGUUUGGAAUGUGAUAAAGAGGUUCGGGUUUGUGUCAAAGAGUGGGGUCCGAAUAUGAUGUUAUAAUAUUUGUCCAGAUUACAUCUAAGUAUUUUGGGAAAAGGGUUUGAUAUACCUCUCAACUUUGUUAUUUAGAGUUGAUAUACUCCUCGUUAUAAAAGUGGCUCACACAUAUUCCUAUCUUUAUAAAAUUGGCCCGCAUAUACCCUUUUCCUCUAAGGAAGUGAAAAAAUAUGUUUUAUUAAUAAAAAAAUAAUUAAUCUUUUAUUAAAAAACAAUUCAUGUAGGGUAUAUGUGAGCCAUUUAUGUAACAAUUGUAUAAAGGCCUAAUCCAUCGGUGACCUCCUAAAGUUGGCAACAAUUUUUCACUUAGACACUUUAAAUAGACUUUGUUUGUUUUAGACACCUCAUGUCAGACCCUAUUGUGUCAUUUUGACACUUUUUUCACUAGUACAUGUUGACUCCAAGUGCGUGUUAACCAAGUGCGUCCACAUGGAUUAAAUGCCCAAUUAUAUCAUGCCAACUCAUUAAAAGUCUAUCAUAUUAAAGAGAAAAAAAUAAGAAUCAAAAUAUAAGACAAAGUAACCAAUGAAUAAAUGACAUGUGGUUUUUUUUAUCAAAAUAAAUAAAUAAAAUAGUUUGACAAAUUUAAAGAAAAAUUCCACACCCCCACAGCUUCCCAAAGUCAUCUUCUCCAUUGUAUUACUCCAUUUUUAUUAUUUUUUUAACCUUAUUUUUUCUGCCAUAAACCCACACCCACACAAUCUACUCUAUCAUAUUCCUCCAUUUUCAUUGUCUUUUCCGUCACACUCACAUCCACACAGUCAUGUUCUCUAUUUUAUUCCUCUUUUUUCAUUUUUUUUUGUCAUAUUCACUGAAUUUUGACCGUUUUCUUCACUGCACCUCCCCUCACAUUUUUUCAUUUGAUUCCGGGUUAAGAGGUGCAAAUGUAUAACAAACAAUGGUUCGUAUUUUUAAGCUCGAGUCUCCUUUUCUUUAAUUUUGAGAUAUUUGUAAUUUAAUUAGGGCUUAAGGUUAGUGAGAUUAACAUUUACAUAAUGAAAAUUGGGAUCUUUUUGGCUCCUAUUUUUGUUAACUUGAAAUUUGAGUUGUUGGCAGUUAUAUGUUGGCAAUUGAGACUGUGGAUAUAUUUAAUUUGAAGAAUUGUUUUUACUUUUUUCUUUAGGAUUAUUGUGGGUGAACUUUACAUGAUAUGGGUGUUGUUGAUAUGGGUUCGAUUUCUUGUUUCUUUUUGGAUCUACCUGAGCUUGUAGUGGGAAAUUUAAAUUGAAAUUAUAAUAACAAAAGAUUUAACCUCCGUUGAAGUACUUUAAGCUUUGAGAAAUAAUUGGAGAGAUAGUGGCUGUAAAAUGAAAAAGAAGAGAGAAAAAAUAAAAUAAAAUAGGCUAAAUAAGCCACUCACGCGUCAAUAGCGAGUGUAUAACACUCACUUUGUCAUGUCAGUGGAAAGGGUCAAAUGACACAACAGGGCUUGACACGAGGUGUCUAAAAUGAAUAAAACCUAGUUAAAGUAUUUAAGUGAAAAUUGCUGCCAACUUUAGGGGACCACCGAUGAGUUAGACCUUGUAUAAAUAAGCCACUCUAAAUGAUAAAGUUAAAAGAUAUAUAGACCAUUUUCCCAAAUAUUUUUGGGAUAAUAUUUUUCUAAGAAAAAAAAAUCACUUUCCCUUAGAAUACAACCCUAAUUUAAGAGGGCGAAAAUCGAGGAAAGGCUCAAAACAGUCCCUCAUCUUUGGAUUAAGGCUCAAAGUCAUCCUUGAGUUUUCACAUGGAGCACUAAUAGUCCCUCAUAUUUGCAAUAUUGGUGCACUUUUAGUCCUCCCCUAAAUUUUUGCCUAUUUUUUAACAUUAAUUUUGUUCACAAUUUUAUGUAAGGAAUGUCCAAUCGUCUUUUUAUAUAUUUAGUAGAAAUAAUAACUCUAUGUGAGAGAAGGUGAUAAAAAGAACACCUUGUUCUGUUCAGUAUAAAUAUUACUGCAGUUAAACUAACAACAUCUUAACAUAUGACGUUGGAAGAAAAGAAAAAAAUUGUACUAUUGCACGUAAAAUGAUCGUGAUGAACCUCUCGACUUUACCUGCAAUACGAUUUCUACUAAACAAAACAAGAUGCUUUUCUUCUCACAUUCUCUCAUAUGGAGUUAUUAUUUCUACUAAAUAUAUAAAAAGACGAUUGGACAUUCCUUACAUAAAAUUGUGAACAAAAUUAAUGUUAAAAAAUAGGCAAAAAUUUAGGGGAGGACCAAAAGUGCACCAAUAUUGCAAACAUGAAGGACUAUUACUGUUCUAUGUGAAAACUCAAGGAUGACUUUGAACCUUAACCCAGAGAUGGGAGACUAUUUUGAGCCUUUCCUCGCGAAAAUCACUUGUAUUGUGCCUCGUGAGAUACACGAGCUUAUCUUUUCUGUUUGUAACAAUGACUUGAAAUUCAUUGUGAUGAAAGAUUGCGUUGACUUGGGUCCGAAAAGGCGGUGACAAAGCUGAAAAUCUAUUACUCCCUCCGUUUCACAAAGAAUGACCUCCUUUCCUUUUUAGUCAGUUUAAAAAAGAAUGACCUCUUUCCUUUUUUGGUAACAUUUUACUUUUUGCUUUCCACGUGACAUGUUUAAGACCACAAGAUUAAGGGCAAUUUUGUACAUUUGACAUAACUUUAAUUUAGGACCACAAGAUUCAAAAGUCUUCUUUAUUUACUUAAACUCCGUGCCAAGUCAAACCAAGUCAUUCUUUGUGAAACGAAGGGAGUAUCAUUUUUGUCAUUUUCUUAUUAGCUUUCGCACACUUCAUCUAAUCUCACAGGGUAUGGUCAACCUCUCACUAGCAGCAGCUACUAGAUAACUAUGUCCAUCAAAUAAAAAAUAAUUACGUAGCAUCUUUUAAUCCCUAUUAAGUUCUCAAUUACUAUGGUCAAGCCACAACUGUUCUCUUACAUGUAACUGUUCGUAUUGAUUGUCUUUUUUGAAUCACUACUUUCUGUUUGUGGGUUUCUAUCUCUUUUCUAUAUUUUGGCUUUGUAGGUUUGAAUAGAAUUGCAGUUACAUUUCUACCUCCUUCUUCCUCAAGUCCAUAUCUGCGAAUUCAUAGUCACCAGCAUGGAGAACGACACUACUACAACAAGGAAAAUAUGAAACUUUAAGGAAAUUGAGAAAUUGGUGAGUGCAUCGAAUCUCACCGUAAGAAGUGUGCUUGACAAGUUGACGUCUUGCCUUGACACUGCUGAUACCCGAUCCGUUAUCCCUCUCGGCCAUGGCGAUCCUUCUGUUUUCCCCUGUUUCCGUACUACACCAAUCGCCGAAGAUGCUAUCACUGAUGCCAUUCGCUCUGCUAAAUUUAACUGUUAUUCGCCCACUGUCGGCAUCCUUCCUGCUAGAAGAUAGCAUCUUACUCAAAAUUUUACUGUUAAUUGGUUUUGUAAAGAUUCUGAAAUUUGUGAUUAAUUUUUUACAUCACUUGGUUUAGGUAUCUCUGCCACUGAUUGCGUAUUAGUGUUUCUCAUUUGGAAGUGUUUGAUUAAAUGUGUACCUCACUGUAAUCUGUUUAAUUGUGAGGAGGUGGAUUCAGAAUUUUGAGUUUAUGGGUUUUGGAUUCUAGAAAAUAUAGCUUACUCAGUUCGGAAAUAAGUUAUUUAUACAUAUUGGAUAUAUAGGGUAGGGCCCAAAGUUACUGAUUCUGCCAAAUUCGUAACCAAGGCUCUAGCUCCGCAGCUUUAUUUAGUCUAAAGUGCAUUUUUCAUGAUCGUCAAAUUCAUUUAAUUCUGUUCUCUGAAAAGGGCGGUAGCAGAAUACCUUUCUCAAGAUCUCCCAUACAAGUUGUCCCCUGAUGAUAUUUACUUGACAAGUGGAUGUCUUCAAGCAAUUGAAGUACUUUUGAGUGCUCUUGCGCGUCCAAACGCAAAUAUUCUACUUCCAACUCCUGAAUUCCCUUUUUAUGAAGCUAGGGCUGCAUUUACCCAUAUUGAAAUGCGCCACUUUAACCUUCUCCCGGAGAAGGAGUGGGAGGUGGAUCUUAAUGAGGUUGAGUUUUUGGCCGAUGAAAAUACCGUGGCUAUGGUCAUUAUUAAUCCUGGUAAUCCUGGUGGCAAUGUCUACACAGACCAACACUUGAAGAAGGUAUGUGUGUAUACUUCCUUUUUUGUUGUAGUAUAUUGAUAUCCAAAGUCAUUAUUAUGAAUAUAAAGAGGUGUUUUAAUUCCUAUCAGGUGGCAGAGACAGCAAGAAAACUUGGAAUUUUAGUUAUUUCUGAUGAAGUUUAUGCUCAUCUCACUUUUGGAAGUAAACCAUUUGUGCCUAUGGGAGUCUUUGGAUCGAUUACCCCUGUUAUUACUCUCGGAUCCAUAUCAAAGAAGUGGGUCGUCCCUGGUUGGCGACUUGGUUGGCUUGUCACAAAUGAUCCAAAUGGCAUACUAAAAGAACAUGGGGUACUUUCCUUUUAACGAUGGCCAUUCUCUACUGCUUCCACAUAUAUUAUAGGGGACUAUAUAAGUAUAAUAUGAUAUCUUAGAUUGAGGUUGACUAGCUUUCUUAAGAAAAGAAGACAGAUUAUUUUACAAACAAACAAUGUCUACCCGUCGUCACUUUGUAUAUUGUUAUUUGUAGGUCAUAGAUUCCAUCAUUGGAUAUCUCAAUAUAUCUUCUGACCCUGCAACUUUUAUUCAGGUUUGUUCUUUAUAGUUCUUUCUUCUGCUUGCUUUCUCUUGGAAAUGUAACAUUUGUUAUUCCAUUUUGCCAUACAUUUGGUAGAGUUGCUAAAGGAUUGAAAGUUGUUUUGGUCUAACAGCUCUUUGAGAAUUUAGUAGUAUAGGUGUAAAUUUCCUCGCCGCUUACUGAGGCAUCUGGUUUCUUUUUGUUCUUACUUUGACAGGGGGCAAUUCCUCAGAUCCUUGAGAAAACAAAAGAUGAUUUCUUCUCUAAAAUAGUAGAUAUGCUAAGAGCAGAUGCAGAUAUCUGUUAUGACAAAAUCAAGGAUAUUCCUUGCAUCACUUGCCCAAGUAAACCUCAAAGAUCUAUGUUUGUGAUGGUAUGAGAAAAAUGGAAGCUUAAUUAGGCAUUAGCUUGGGAUUAGAAGAUGUGAUCAAUAGUCUAAUAUAGGUCUUUUCCCCCAUGUAGGUUCAACUUAACUUGAAUCUUCUAGAAGACAUCGAAGAUGACUUGGACUUUUGCGCCAAGCUGGCUAAGGAAGAAUCUUUGAUAAUUUUACCAGGUAAAAGACAACAAAUCUCUUACAAAGCCAAUCAAACUUUGUCGACAACAGUAGGUCUCUUUCUUGGAGGACUAUCUUUUCAAAUUCCUUUAUUUUUUCGAUGUUUUGGAAUGUUUUUCAUAUGUGUUUAGUCGUUAGAGCUUUCGUAUUCACAGGUCAUAAUGUUAUUUGAUUGUUUUUAUUACGCCAAACAAGCCUUUGAUUGCAUCCAAUGUAGGACAAAUAGAAAUCAUCCAUAUAUAUAAGAUCUGCCAUGUAAGUGAUCAUUUUUUGGUGAUAUAUACAUGUCUGAUUAUCAAUGCAAUUGAUACAAAAGUAGAAAUUCAUCAAAUUUUAUCCGAUUCCAUAGAUGUAACCAUGUUAUAUGAAUGUAAAAUUUGUGUACUUCUCGUGUUGGUGUAUUAAUUCGCUGCAUGAAAGUAGACUCACUCAAAAGAGCUAGUAUAUGAAUAUGAAGUUUGUGUGUUCUGCAUGCACAAAAACUGGUGUGAUGCUAUGCUAUGUAUAACUCCUGAUGCAGGUGUUGUUGUGGGACUCAAGAAUUGGCUCAGAAUAACCUUUGCAUGUGAGCCAUCAUAUCUGGAAGAUGGCUUCCAGAGACUAAAUGCUUUCUAUAAAAGGCAUGCCAAGAAACAAUAAGCUGCUGCUGUUUAAGAAGCAACCUUGAUAUUUGUUACCGUCCUCUGAUUAAGGAUCCAGUUAUGGGACGCUGCAAGAUAAAAUCAUAUGUUUUCUUCCUUCAACCUAUGGUGUUGGUUCAAGGACCUGCAAUCUCUCGAGCUCAAGUACUUUAUAAUUUGAAUAAUUUUCUGCUCAUCCAUCUUUCCAUUGAAUUCAAAUGACUCUGCAUUACGGAGUUGCAAUUGAUUUUCAACUACUCGUUGAACCUCGGUGUGGUGUGCGUACAAUAGCUCAUACAUAAGUUGGCUAGAUUUUCAACAAUUUCCUUUAAGGAAUGUAAUAUGUUAUUUUGACUGGUAUAGUGCACCAUUACUAGCACAUGAAUGAUAUUAUUAUCGAAAAUAAAAACAGCUAUUCGUAUCUAA